GGUCACAGCCUUAUCACUCUGCAGCCUAAGACUGGUUACUCACUGAAUCUAAAGAGGGCUGAGCCUGGUCAGUACCUGGAUGGGAGACCACAUGGGAAAACUAGGUUGCUGUUUAAA
rnacentral:rRNA from 1 species